GGGCUCGUCGCCUAGCUAGGAUAUGGCACCAGCCUCCGGAAUUGGUCCUCGCAGGUUCAAAUCCUGCCGAGCCCG
rnacentral:tRNA from 1 species